CCAUCCAUAAGCGACAGCACAAAGGCCGUCUUUCCUUUCUCGAUCAUGCGAUCAAAAAAACUAUGCGGUAUUAGCACCCGUUUCCGGAUGUUAUCCCCCUCUUAUGGGCAGGUUACCCACGUGUUACUCACCCGUUCGCCACUAUUCUCUCGAUCGGAAGCAAGCUUCCAAAAGAAAGAACCGUUCGACUUGCAUGUAUUAGGCACGCCGCCAGCGUUCGUCCUGAGCCAGGAUCAAACUCUCAUGUAAAUGUGGACUCUUGUACAGAAAUCCUACAUGUAAAAUUUAAAAGCUCAUUUGUUACGUUACUGACUUUAUGUUUGCGAUACUGCGUAUCGCCUUCGUUUGCUUUGAUAAAAUCAAAGCUCCCUGCACAUUUGGUUCGUUCAUUCUUUGUUCAGUUUUCAAAGGUCAAUCGUUUAUCACGUGUUACGUGAUAACUUCAUAAUAUUACCACGGCUUCAACUUUCCGUCAAGCACUUAUUCGAAUUUCUUCGAUUAAGUUUUGCUCGUUAUCGGCAAACCGAAGUGGCAACUUUCAUAUAAUAUCACCCUGCCGAUUGCAUGUCAACAACUUUUUUCAAUUGUUUUUUCUGAUGCUCUCGCGGACAACUUCUAUAUACUAUCACGGCUUCAAAUGGGUGUCAACGAAUAUUUCUAAUUUUUUUGGAUUACUUAAAAAAAAUAUUUAUAACGCCUAAUUUUUUGCUUUUCAAAAACUAAAAGCCUUUGAGUUUACUAUAAUAACCGAAAAAACAUGCAUUGUGAAGCCUUUUUGAUGAUUUUUCACAUUUUUUAUUGAUUCAACUUUUCAUCAGUUGCACUGCGCUAAAAAUAAUUCCGGCAGGCUGAGAUGACACUUAUGCAAAAUUUCAAGCUGAGGGCCUCAAAAAACGUCAAGGGAACGACCGAAGGUACAACGCUGCCCUCCUUCAUUCCUUUGACGUUUUCGGCUCGAUUUCUGCUGCCCCACUUGCAAUUCCGUACCAAACUUACCUGAUUUCUUUAUUAUGAUAGGCUAUCAUUUCGUUUGGAUUUGUGAUUCCAAAUCGUUAUUGAUGGUUUGCCUUAACAUUGCAGAUUCCUAUCAGAAAAUUCUUUAUGAUUGUCCUGCCUUGUUCCGUAAAAACCGAUUCAGGAUGAAACUGCACACCGUAAACAGCGUACUCCUUGUGCUUCAUAGCCAUGAUGACGCCAUCGUCCAAACUUCUGGCCGUUACCGUAAGCACUUCCGGUAAACUAUGUUCCUCUACCACUAAUGAAUGGUAACGCAUCACUUUAAGAGGGUUAUCGGUUCCUUCAAAGAGUUUAUCGUCCUGAUGCUCGAUCAUCGAUGUUUUCCCGUGUUUCACCGUCUCCGCCCGGAUGACAUUCCCGCCGUAGGCAUAAGCGAUGGCUUGGUGUCCAAGACAAAUGCCCAGAAUAGGUAUCUUUCCGCCGAAGGUUCUGAUUACGUCUACGCAUAUACCGGCAUUCUCGGGUACACCCGGCCCAGGCGACAAGAUGAUACCUUCCAGUUCCAUCUGUUUCAGCUCAUCAACUGUAACAGCAUCGUUCCUGAUCACCUUUACGUCCUCAUUGACUUCCCCGAUGUAUUGAUACAGGUUAUACGUAAAGGAAUCAUAGUUAUCGAUCAAUAGAAUCAUUUAAAUUACCUCCUUCAUGGCCAUAGCCUUAUUCAAUGUUUCGGUAUAUUCCGAUUUAGGUACAGAGUCAUGGACAAUCCCAGCGCCAGCCUGCACAUGUGCUUGGCCAUCUUUCAAGACAAUCGUCCGUAUGGCAAUGCAGGUAUCCAUGUUUCCGUUAUAGGAAAAGUAACCUACCGCUCCGGCAUAGAUUCCCCGCUUCGUUUUCUCCAGUUCGUCGAUGAUUUCCAUCGCCCUGAUUUUAGGCGCCCCGGAUACGGUCCCCACCGGCAAGCAAGCACUCAAGGCAUCAAAACAGGUCAGACCUUUUUUUAAUUCACCGGUAACUGUUGAGACGAUAUGCAUAACAUGGGAAUAGGCUUCCACCUCCAUGAAUUUAUCAAUCUUCACUGUCCCGAAUUCGCUUAUUCUGCCGAUAUCAUUUCUCCCCAAGUCAACCAACAUCACAUGUUCAGCUUUUUCUUUUUCGUCAGUCAACAACUCCUGUUUGAACUUGUUGUCCUCUUCAUCAUUUCUUCCUCUGGGCCUUGUCCCUGCUAUGGGGUUGGUCAUCACCGUGCGUCCUUGGACGGUUACUAGGCUUUCCGGCGAAGAACCGAUGAUCUGGAAUCCGUCGAAGUCUAUAUAAAAAAGAUAGGGUGAUGGGUUCUUUGAACGCAGCCGCCGGUAUAUGUCGAAUGGUUCCGAUUGUGUCUGGGCCGUCAGCCGCUGAGAUAAGACCACUUGGAAAAUAUCCCCAGCUUUGAUGUAUGCUUUGGCCUGCUCCACCAGCUUGCAGAAUUCCUCUUCCGUGACAUUUGAUUUUACCUUUAUAUCCGGAUCCGCUUCCUUGAAAGCUUGGACACCAGUGGUACGCGUCAGCAUUUUUUCCAUAUCCUUUAGUCUUGAAACGACCGCUUCAUAAUUUUCCGCAUCUUCGGGAAACACAUUAUGGACAAUCGUCAUUUUGUGUUGGAAAUGAUCGUAGCAGACGAAUAACCGAUAGAACAUAAGAUACGCCUCCGGAACAUUCAGCUCAUCGAUAUUUUCAUGCGGCAAUUUCUCAUAUUGACGGAUGACGUCAUAGCCUACAUAACCAACUGCUCCACCAGCGAACGGCAAAGGAAUGCCUUUGUCAGCAUAAGGGACCGACACCUGCUUCUGGACAUAAUCCAAUACUCUGCCGAUAUGAUGUUCCGUUUUGCCGUCACCAGUUAUUUCCACUUUCUCGCCAAAGCUUUUGAUUGUUUUAUAGGGGUCCGCGCCGACGAACGAAUAUCUGCCGAUUUCCCUUUCGGAGUAGACACUUUCCAGUAAAAAUUUAUGUUUUCCCUGAAGGUUGUAAUAGAUUCCGAUUGGCGUCUGUUGAUCGGCAUUCACCGUCAGUUGGACAGGGAAAACCUUCUUUUGUUGCUUUAAUGUCAAAAAUUCAUUUUCUGAUAGAUUGAUCAUCACUUUCACCCCUAAUUUAUACUGUUUUUGUUCCGUUACCUGCGUCGCUCACCCUUUUUUGCACAAAAAAAGCCACUCCAUCCCCAUAUAAUGGGACGAAGUAGCCGCGGUGCCACCCAUAUUAGUCUCUACUUAAGGGAUAGCAAAAACGAUUUAUCUUUGACGCGAAUAUCGGUUUCACCCGAUAGUUGUUGCUGAUUUGCAAGAUCCACAACCGCCCCGGCCGGCAAUCCUGCCGACCGAACCGAUUCCCCUGCCAAUAAGCACACGUUACGUCAAAAAUAAAAACACUCCCUCCUUAAAAAAGGACGAAAUGUCUCCAUUCGUUAUGCCACCUUAGUACAAAACUCUCUCUGCGGGUACGGAUGUGACUCGAUACCCUGUCUUUUUAACGGCAGACUCCCGGUUGCUGCUACUAUUUAUUCGCAUCACGUCUCAGAGAUCCAUUCACCAUCAGCUACAGGGUUUGGCUCUCACUGCCCCAAACUCGCUUUACCUAAAUUCCGAUGACUACUACUUCUCUUCACAGACUUUCAUUAAUGUAAUUUUAACCUAUUAUAAUCUUAUUCUCAUCUUUGUCAACAAAAAUAUCUUUGGCUGCGCCGAAAAUCAGCAAUGAAACAAAAAAAGCAAGAUUCCCAAGAUGAUGACCAUCAAUGGAACCUUGCUUUUCAUAUGAUACCGGCGGCCGGGGUCGAACCGGCACGCCCUCGCGGGCACUGGAUUUUGAGUCCAGCGCGUCUGCCUAUUCCGCCACACCGGCAUGAUAGUAAGAUGCUGUCUCUUUGCUUCCGUACGGAAAGGCGGUAACCGGAUUUGAACCGGUGAUCAAGGUUUUGCAGACCUACGCCUUACCACUUGGCUAUACCGCCGGAAAAAUGAAGUUGGAUAUGAAAACUGAAACUGGGCUAGCUGGAUUCGAACCAACGAAUGACAGAGUCAAAGUCUGUUGCCUUACCGCUUGGCGAUAGCCCAAUAAAGAGGGCGACUGAUGGGAAUUGAACCCACGAGUGCCGGAUCCACAAACCGGUGCGUUAACCACUUCGCCACAAUCGCCAUAAUAUAAGUUGAAAACAGGGGUAGUAGGAAUUGAACCCACACCGACGGUUUUGGAGACCGUUGUUCUACCUUUAAACUAUACCCCUAAAUUGCCAGAGUACGAUUAUAAAAAAAUGGAGGAGGGCAGAUUCGAACUGCCGAACCCUAAGGAGCGGAUUUACAGUCCGCCGCGUUUAGCCACUUCGCUACUCCUCCAUGAU
rnacentral:tRNA from 1 species